UACGUAGGGGGCAAGCGUUGUCCGGAAUGACUGGGCGUAAAGGGCGCGUAGACGGCUGUCUAAGUCUGGAGUGAAAGUCCUGCUUUCAAGGUGGGAAUUGCUUUGGAGACUGGAUGGCUUGAGUGCGGAAGAGGUAAGUGGAAUUCCCAGUGUAGCGGUGAAAUGCGUAGAGAUUGGGAAGAACACCAGUGGCGAAGGCGACUUACUGGGCCGUAACUGACGUUGAUGCGCGAAAGCGUGGGGAGCGAACAGG
rnacentral:rRNA from 1 species